AGGACGAACGCUGGCGGCGUGCUUAACACAUGCAAGUCGAGCGAGGCCCGUCCUUCGGGACGGUGCCCUAGCGGCGAACGGGUGAGUAACACGUGGGCAACCUGCCCCUAGCACUGGGAUAACUCCGGGAAACCGGGGCUAAUACCGGAUAUGACCUUUGAGGGCAUCCUCUUUGGUGUAAAGGAUUCUGGCUAGGGAUGGGCCCGCGGCCUAUCAGCUUGUUGGUGGGGUAAUGGCCUACCAAGGCGGCGACGGGUAGCCGGCCUGAGAGGGCGACCGGCCACACUGGGACUGAGACACGGCCCAGACUCCUACGGGAGGCAGCAGUGGGGAAUAUUGCACAAUGGGCGAAAGCCUGAUGCAGCGACGCCGCGUGAGGGAUGACGGCCUUCGGGUUGUAAACCUCUUUCAGCAGGGACGAAGCGAAAGUGACGGUACCUGCAGAAGAAGCACCGGCAACUACGUGCCAGCAGCCGC
rnacentral:rRNA from 1 species